GAGAGGUUCGAUCCUGGCUCAGGACGAACGCUGGCGGCAUGCCUAACACAUGCAAGUCGAACGGACGAGGGUAGCAAUACCCAAGUUAGUGGCGAACGGGUGAGUAACACGUGAGCAACCUGCCCUUUACACUGGGAUAGCAGUUGGAAACGACUGAUAAUACCGGAUAAGACCACGCUCCCGCAUGGGAGAGGGGUCAAAGUGCUUUAGCGGUAAAGGAUGGGCUCGCGUCCAAUUAGCUAGUUGGUGAGGUAACGGCCCACCAAGGCGACGAUUGGUAGCCGACUUGAGAGAGUGAUCGGCCACACUGGAACUGAGACACGGUCCAGACUCCUACGGGAGGCAGCAGUGGGGAAUAUUGGGCAAUGGAGGAAACUCUUACCCAAGCAAUGCCGCGUGAGGGAUGGAGGUCCUAUGGAUUGUAAACCUCUUUGAUUAGGGACAAAGAAAGUGAUGGUACCUAAAGAACAAGCCCCGGCUAACUAUGUGCCAGCAGCGGC
rnacentral:rRNA from 1 species